rnacentral:rRNA from 1 species
CCUACGGGUGGCAGCAGUGAGGAAUAUUGGUCAAUGGGCGCGAGCCUGAACCAGCCAAGUCGCGUGAAGGAUGACUGCCCUACGGGUUGUAAACUUCUUUUGUAAAGGAAUAAAGUGCGGCACGUGUGCCUUUUUGUGUGUACUUUAUGAAUAAGGAUCGGCUAACUCCGUGCCAGCAGCCGCGGUAAUACGGAGGAUCCGAGCGUUAUCCGGAUUUAUUGGGUUUAAAGGGAGCGUAGAUGGGUUGUUAAGUCAGGUGUGAAAGGUUGCGGCUCAACCGUAAAAGUGCAAUUGAUACUGGCAGGCUUGAGUAUAGGUGAGGUAGGCGGAAUGAGUGGUGUAGCGGUGAAAUGCUUAGAUAUCACGAAGAACUCCGAUUGCGAAGGCAGCUUACUAAAAUGAAACUGACAUUGAGGCGCGAAAGCGUGGGUAUCAAACAGGAUUAGAUACCCUGGUAGUC